AACCAUUCUCACCUGCGGCUAGACCUGCGGAAGGAUCAUUACCGAGUUUACAAACUCCCAAACCCUUUGUGAACCUUACCAUAUUGUUGCUUCGGCGGGACCGCCCCGGCGCCUUCGGGCAACGGAACCAGGCGCCCGCCGGAGGCCCCAAACUCUUAUGUCUUUAGUGGUUUUCUCCUCUGAGUGACACAUAAACAAAUAAAUAAAAACUUUCAACAACGGAUCUCAGAUCGGAAGAGC
rnacentral:misc_RNA from 1 species